GACGAACGCUGGCGGCGUGCCUAAUACAUGCAAGUAGAACGCUGAAGGAGGAGCUUGCUUCUCCGGAUGAGUUGCGAACGGGUGAGUAACGCGUAGGUAACCUGCCUGGUAGCGGGGGAUAACUAUUGGAAACGAUAGCUAAUACCGCAUAAGAGUAGAUGUUGCAUGACAUUUGCUUAAAAGGUGCAAUUGCAUCACUACCAGAUGGACCUGCGUUGUAUUAGCUAGUUGGUGAGGUAACGGCUCACCAAGGCGGCGAUACAUAGCCGACCUGAGAGGGUGAUCGGCCACACUGGGACUGAGACACGGCCCAGACUCCUACGGGAGGCAGCAGUAGGGAAUCUUCGGCAAUGGACGGAAGUCUGACCGAGCAACGCCGCGUGAGUGAAGAAGGUUUUCGGAUCGUAAAGCUCUGUUGUAAGAGAAGAACGAGUGUGAGAGUGGAAAGUUCACACUGUGACGGUAUCUUACCAGAAAGGGACGGCUAACUACGUG
rnacentral:rRNA from 1 species